GAAAGAUUUUGGAGGAAAAGGCCAAAUUCGUUGUGACUAUAUAGAUGAGUACAACAGGGCAGCACCUGAAAAACUGCAGUCAGCUGAUACAAUUCUGGCAUCUGGGAGUUAUGCAUGGCCAUGGGUAUGGAAUGAGCAUGGACGGUCGUCACCAAUCCUGGUCAUGGGGGGUCUCUGCAGAUUUUAAAUGAAACCUCUGCUAAUUAGUCAUGACUGCUGCUUCCUACUGUUACAGACCAGGACUGUGGGCUCUCUGACAGUGGAGUUCUAGGACUUCACUUCCUGCUAAAGAAAAGACAAUACUACAUCAUCUCCUCUGUUCGCCAGUUGUACUGUACUGUGCUUGACAACUUUUCUGAGCUGUUUGGGAACAUAAAAGAUGAUGAUUACUUUAGUGAAAU